AGGAUAGGCCUUUUCCCAUUUGGGGGUGCCCCCUCUCUCUCCCCAUUUAAGUCUUCCAGUUUAUACAAAGUUGGCCUUGCUUUUCUCAGAUCAAGAAGUGACUAAACAGGAGUACAGGAAAGACCAAACUCUGUUUCUUCAGAAAGGAAGAGGACAAAUCCAAAGGUCAUAUGGCCAGUAAUCAGCCCGGAUGUGCCACUCCUGUGAUUUCUUGCUUUUUCCUAACUUCAUGGGAGCUUUCAGCUAUGAUCUCAGCAAGAGUUCCAGAUGGUUUCAACAAAAAGGCCAGACAAAUUUGGUAAAAAAAAAAAAAAUAAAGAAAAAAUUGGAAGAAAUAAUAAAAAACCACAUGGAUUUAUAAAAAUCCAUAUAAAACAUAUCUUUACAACAUCUUCACUGUU